rnacentral:rRNA from 1 species
UAGGGAGAUCUCUUAGGUAAAUCCGGGGGGUCAAUUCCGAGACGCGAUAACGAGCUGUCAAGGCUUCGGUCUGACGGUGAAGUGGUUGAUGCCAUGCUUCCAGGAAAAGCCUCUAAGCUUCAGGUAACAAGGGACCGUACCCCAAACCGACACAGGUGGUCAGGUAGAGAAUACCAAGGCGCUUGAGAGAACUCGGGUGAAGGAACUAGGCAAAAUGGUACCGUAACUUCGGGAGAAGGUACGCCGCUUGGGGUGAUCGGACUUGCUCCGUGAGCUCCGGGCGGUCGAAGUGACCAGGUGGCUGCGACUGUUUAUUAAAAACACAGCACUCUGCAAACACGAAAGUGGACGUAUAGGGUGUGACGCCUGCCCGGUGCCGGAAGGUUAAUUGAUGGGGUCAGCCGCAAGGCGAAGCUCUUGAUCGAAGCCCCGGUAAACGGCGGCCGUAACAAUAACGGUCCUAAGGUAGCGAAAUUCCUUGUCGGGUAAGUUCCGACCUGCACGAAUGGCGUAACGAUGGCCACACUGUCUCCACCCGAGACUCAGUGAAAUUGAACUCGCUGUGAAGAUGCAGUGUACCCGCGGCUAGACGGAAAGACCCCGUGAACCUUUACUACGGCUAUGCACUGGACUCUGAAUCUGUUUGUGUAGGAUAGGUGGGAGGCUAUGAAGCCGGAACGCUAGUUCUGGUGGAGCCAACCUUGAAAUACCACCCUGACAUAUUUGGGGUUCUAACCCAGGCCCGUUAUCCGGGUCGGGGACAGUGUAUGGUGGGUAGUUUGACUGGGGCGGUCUCCUCCCAAAGAGUAACGGAGGAGCACGAAGGUACCCUCAGCGUGGUCGGAAAUCACGCUUUUGAGUGCAAAGGCAUAAGGGUGCUUGACUGCGAGAGCGACGGCUCGAGCAGGUGCGAAAGCAGGUCUUAGUGAUCCGGUGGUUCUGAAUGGAAGGGCCAUCGCUCAACGGAUAAAAGGUACUCCGGGGAUAACAGGCUGAUACCGCCCAAGAGUUCAUAUCGACGGCGGUGUUUGGCACCUCGAUGUCGGCUCAUCACAUCCUGGGGCUGAAGCCGGUCCCAAGGGUAUGGCUGUUCGCCAUUUAAAGUGGUACGCGAGCUGGGUUUAGAACGUCGUGAGACAGUUCGGUCCCUAUCUGCCGUGGGCGUUGGAGAUUUGAGGAAAGCUGCUCCUAGUACGAGAGGACCGGAGUGGACGAACCUCUGGUGUUCGGGUUGUCACGCCAGUGGCAUUGCCCGGUAGCUACGUUCGGACGGGAUAACCGCUGAAAGCAUCUAAGCGGGAAGCCUCUUCCAAGAUGAGAUCUCCCCGGGGACUCGAUCCCCCUGAAGGGUUGUUCAAGACCAGGACGUUGAUAGUUGG